AAAACCUUUUAAAGAAUUGUCCAGAGAGGCAAAAAAGGGGACUUAUGAUGGGUUGCAUUGUUUUUUACGCUACCCUCAUACCUCCUACAGCCUCGCAAAUUUGCGAGGCGUUUUUAUU
rfam:Lysinibacillus massiliensis 4400831 = CIP 108448 = CCTG 49529 contig2, whole genome shotgun sequence.